rnacentral:rRNA from 1 species
UACGUAGGGGGCAAGCGUUGUCCGGAUUAUUGGGCGUAAAGCGCGUGUAGGCGGCCAGAUAGGUCUGACUGUGAAACUCGAGGCUCAACCUCGAGCUGUCGGCGGAAACCAUCUGGCUAGAGUCCGGAAGAGGAGAGUGGAAUUCCUGGUGUAGCGGUGAAAUGCCGCAGAUAAGUCAGGAAGAACACCUAUGGCGAAGGCAGCUCUCUGGGACGGUACUGACGCUGAGACGCGAAAGCGUGGGAGC